rnacentral:tRNA from 1 species
CUUAGCUCAGCUGGUAGAGCAGCUGAUUUGUAAUCAGCAGGUCGGGGGUUCAAGUCCGUCCACC